UACGUAGGGGGCGAGCGUUAUCCGGAUUUACUGGGUGUAAAGGGAGCGUAGACGGCCAUGCAAGCUCGGUGUGAAAGGUGCGGGCACAACCCGCAGACUGCACUGAGAACUGUAUGGCUGGAGUGCCGGAGGGGCAGGCGGAAUUCCUGGUGUAGCGGUGAAAUGCGUAGAUAUCAGGAGGAACACCGGUGGCGAAGGCGGCCUGCUGGACGGCGACUGACGUUGAGGCUCGAAAGCGUGGGGAGCGAACA
rnacentral:rRNA from 1 species